rnacentral:rRNA from 1 species
UUCACUCUACGGGGCGCAGCAGUGGGGGAUAUUGCACAAUGGGGGGAACCCUGAUGCAGCGACGCCGCGUGGGUGAAGGAGCGUUUCGGCGCGUAAAGCCCUCUCGGCAGGGAAGAAGGAGGACGGUACCUGACUAAGAAGCCCCGGCUAACUACGUGCCAGCAGCCGCGGUAAUACGUAGGGGGCAAGCGUUAUCCGGAUUUACUGGGUGUAAAGGGGGCGCAGACGGCAGCGCAAGCCAGGAGUGAAAGCCCGGGGCCCAACCCCGGGACUGCUCUUGGAACUGCGCG